CAGCAGCAUGUCCCUGUGCCCACGAGGAAACACCCCCACUCUCAGAAUUCUCAGUUUUCAAGCAAUCACACCUCACAAGGCUGGAACCCUCCAGUGACCUAGGAAAGAAAUUGUGGCCACAGAGGCAAUUCCAGAAAGUGGCCUGCAGACUCUGCUGUGUACCUCACACCGCUCCACAGGGAAGGACUCACUGGGUGACAGUCCCUGUCGAGAUGUCCCAGUGAAAGGCUAAUCGGCCAUGAGACCAAGUGGGUCAUUCGGUCCCACUCUGUGCAGAUGGGCAGGGAUCCUGUCUGGGGGUAUGGAUUGACCUGCCAAUGCCCAUGUCCAGCGGAGAAGCAAUUACAGAAGCCAGAACUCCCACCUUCUGCACCCCAAAAAACAAUUCUGGUCUAUACUCCCAGGGGGAUUAAAAAUUAAGGAAGCUUCCAAUGGAGGGGAUGGUAUACAGAACUCUGGUGGUAGGAGCUGGAUGGAAUUUCACCCCUAUUACAGUGAUAUCCCUUACAACCUUGUAAAUCAACACAAAAUCACUAAUAAAAAAAUAAAACAUUUAAAAAAAGAGUUUUUGGGAGCCGGGCGGUAGCGCAGCAGGUUAAGUGCACAUGGCAAGAAGUGCAAGCGACCUGCAUCAGGAUACUGGUUCGAGCCUCAGGCUACCCACCUGUGGGGGAGUCGCUUCACAGGCGCUGAAGCAGGUCUGCAGGUGUCUAUC